UACGUAGGUGGCAAGCGUUAUCCGGAUUUACUGGGUGUAAAGGGCGAGUAGGCGGGAUUGCAAGUCAGAUGUGAAAACUAUGGGCUCAACCGAUAGAGUGCAUUUGAAACUGCAGUUCUUGAGUGAUGGAGAGGCAGGCGGAAUUCCUAGUGUAGCGGUGAAAUGCGUAGAUAUUAGGAGGAACACCGGCGGCGAAGGCGGCCUGCUGGACCGUAACUGACGUUGAGGCUCGAAAGCGUGGGGAGCAAACAGG
rnacentral:rRNA from 1 species